UUAUUUUAAAGAGCCGCAGUAUAUUGACUGUGCAAAGGUAGCAUAAUCAUUAGUUUUUUAAUUGAAAACUUGUAUGAAAGGUUAAACAAAAAAAUUUCUGUCUCUUAUUUAAAAAUUGAAAUUAACUUUUAAGUGAAAAGGCUUAAAUUUUUUAAGGGGACGAUAAGACCCUAUAAAGUAUUUUGCUGGGGCGGUACAGAUAUAAAUGAUAACUGUCAGAAUUGUAAACAUAUAUAGGUGAUAGAUCCUAAAUAAAGAUUAUAAGACUAAGUUACUUUAGGGAUAACAGCUUAAUUUUUUUUAAGAGUUCAUAUCGAAAGAAAAGUUUGAGACCUCGAUGUUGAAUUAAAAUAACUUUACGGUGCAGCUGCUGUAUAAAGAAGGUCUGUUCGACCUUUAAAUUUUU
rnacentral:rRNA from 1 species